UGUCUAUAUCAGCAGAGAGAAGACCCUUCCUCUUCAGGAGGCUGCCCAACCACUUCUGUGGGCUGGGUCUGCAUUAAAGAUCUGGGAUUUCUAUGCUUUCUCUCUGCAGCAGAUAAUAACCAUACUGAAUGCUCACUGAGAGAAAAAAAAUAUAUGAAGUCUAAAUUUAAAACCAUCCAAAGUAACUAUUGCUGCUUUUAAAAGAUGAUGAGCUAAUGCCGAAAUGCCUGUGAAGACAGAAGAACAAAAGAAAACGUUGCAGGCUAAAGUAUCUGACAAGAAUGGGGAAAGUGUGCCAUGGAUUGCAGAAUUUAUCUCAUUGAGAUGGGAACAGAAAACUGAUGCAUGAUACUUCAAAAGAGAAAAAAAGUCUGUCAUGAAUCUUCUGAGUCUAGAGAGCCCGGAAAUAAUCCUGGCAAGCCACUUUUGUUAGAACAACAACCAAGAGGAGAUUUGGAGUGACUUUUUAUCGUUUUCUUAACACCAGUCCAGUGAAGAACCCAACUGGUGGUAGUAUGCAUCCAGGCCAAUGUUCCAAACUAUUUGAGAAAGGUGGCUACCAGAGAAAUUUAAAAUUGAAUAUAUGAAAACUGCAUCAUACUCAGAGUGGCCCGCACUGGGGUGCAAACACUUAGG